ACUCCUACGGGAGGCAGCAGUGGGGAAUAUUGCACAAUGGGCGCAAGCCUGAUGCAGCCAUGCCGCGUGUAUGAAGAAGGCCUUCGGGUUGUAAAGUACUUUCAGCAGGGAGGAAGGUAGUGUAGUUAACACCUGCACUAUUUGACGUUACCUACAGAAGAAGCACCGGCUAACUCCGUGCCAGCAGCCGCGGUAAUACGGAGGGUGCGAGCGUUAAUCGGAAUUACUGGGCGUAAAGCGCAUGCAGGCGGCCUGUUAAGUCAGAUGUGAAAGCCCGGGGCUUAACCUCGGAAUUGCAUUUGAAACUGGCAGGCUAGAGUCUUGUAGAGGGGGGUAGAAUUUCAGGGUGUAGCGGUGAAAUGCGUAGAGAUCUGAAGGAAUACCAGUGGCGAAGGNGGCCCCCCUGGACAAAGACUGACGCUCAGAUGCGAAAGCGUGGGGAGCAAACAGGAUUNGAUACCCUGGUA
rnacentral:rRNA from 1 species